UACGUAGGGUGCGAGCGUUAAUCGGAAUUACUGGGCGUAAAGCGUGCGCAGGCGGUUUUGUAAGCCAGAUGUGAAAUCCCCGGGCUUAACCUGGGAAUGGCAUUUGGGACUGCAAGGCUGGAGUGCGGCAGAGGAGACUGGAAUUCCUGGUGUAGCAGUGAAAUGCGUAGAUAUCAGGAGGAAUACCGAGUGCGAAGGCAGGUCUCUGGGCUGACACUGACGCUCAUGCACGAA
rnacentral:rRNA from 1 species